GGGGUUGUCGUUCAGAGGUAGAUUGCUAGCCUAGCAUGCAUGAGGCACUGGGUUCAAUCCUCAGCACCACA
rnacentral:tRNA from 1 species